rnacentral:rRNA from 1 species
AACGAACGCUGGCGGCGUGCCUAACACAUGCAAGUCGAGCGCGAAUGGAGCAAUCCUAGUAGCGCGGCGCACGGGUGCGUAACACGUGGGUAAUCUGCCUGGGAGACCGGAAUAACCUGCCGAAAGGCUGGCUAAUACCGGAUAAGCCCACGGACUCUUCGGAGUCUGAGGGAAAAGGUGGCCUCUGUAUACAAGCUAUCACUUCCAGAUGAGCCCGCGGCCCANCAGCUCGUUGGCGGGGUAAAGGCCCACCAAGGCAACGACGGGUAGCUGGUCUGAGAGGACGAUCAGCCACACUGGAACUGAGACACGGUCCAGACUCCUACGGAGGCAGCAGUGGGGAAUUUUGCACAAUGGGCGAAAGCCUGAUGCAGCAACGCCGCGUGUGUGAUGAAGGUCUUCGGAUCGUAAAGCACUUUCGACCGGGACGAAACCCGUUGCUAACAUCCAACGGCUUGACGGUACCGGGAGAAGAAGCACCGGCUAACUCUGUGCCA